UCGACAGCUGAAAGAUGCAGAGACAUGCUCCUCAGUUAACGAGCUUGAUGGCUUUAUUCGGAAGCUGCAUAGCAAGUUGCAGCAUGGGAGCAAUAAACGAGCUGAGGAGAAGAAUCUGUUUGAA